rnacentral:rRNA from 1 species
UCCUGGUGGCGAGCGGCGGACGGGUGAGUAAUGCAUAGAAAUCUGCCCGGUAGUGGGGGAUAACCUGGGGAAACCCAGGCUAAUACCGCAUACGUCCUACGGGAGAAAGCAGGGGAUCUUCGGACCUUGCGCUAUCGGAUGAGUCUAUGUCGGAUUAGCUUGUUGGUGAGGUAAUGGCUCACCAAGGCGACGAUCCGUAGCUGGUCUGAGAGGAUGAUCAGCCACAUCGGGACUGAGACACGGCCCGAACUCCUACGGGAGGCAGCAGUGGGGAAUAUUGGACAAUGGGCGAAAGCCUGAUCCAGCCAUGCCGCGUGUGUGAAGAAGGCCUUCGGGUUGUAAAGCACUUUCAGUGGGGAAGAAAGCCUUGGGGCUAAUACCCUCGAGGAAGGACAUCACCCACAGAAGAAGCACCGGCUAACUCCGUGCCAGCAGCCGCGGUAAUACGGAGGGUGCGAGCGUUAAUCGGAAUUACUGGGCGUAAAGCGCGCGUAGGCGGUCUGAUAAGCCGGUUGUGAAAGCCCCGGGCUCAACCUGGGAACGGCAUCCGGAACUGUCAGGCUAGAGUGCAGGAGAGGAAGGUAGAAUUCCCGGUGUAGCGGUGAAAUGCGUAGAGAUCGGGAGGAAUACCAGUGGCGAAGGCGGCCUUCUGGACUGACACUGACGCUGAGGUGCGAAAGCGUGGGUAGCAAACAGGAUUAGAUACCCUGGUAGUCCACGCCGUAAACGAUGUCGACUAGCCGUUGGGCUCCUUGAGAGCUUUGUGGCGCAGUUAACGCGAUAAGUCGACCGCCUGGGGAG